AAGGCCUUGCGCUUUUGGAGUGGCCGAUGCCUGAUUAGCUAGUUGGUGGGGUAAGGGCCUACCAAGGCGACGAUCAGUAGUUGGUCUGAGAGGACGACCAGCCACACUGGGACUGAGACACGGCCCAGACUCCUACGGGAGGCAGCAGUGGGGAAUUUUGGACAAUGGGCGCAAGCCUGAUCCAGCAAUGCCGCGUGAGUGAAGAAGGCCUUCGGGUUGUAAAGCUCUUUCAGUUGAGAAGAAAAGGUUGUGGUAAAUAAUCACAAUUGAUGACGGUAUCGACAGAAGAAGCACCGGCUAACUACGUGCCAGCAGCCGCGGUAAUACGUAGGGUGCAAGCGUUAAUCGGAGUUACUGGGCGUAAAGGGUGCGCAGGCGGCUUUGUAAGUCAGAUGUGAAAUCCCCGGGCUUAACCUGGGAAUU
rnacentral:rRNA from 1 species